AACGAACGCUGGCGGCAUGCCUAACACAUGCAAGUCGAACGAGACCUUCGGGUCUAGUGGCGCACGGGUGCGUAACGCGUGGGAACCUGCCCUUAGGUUCGGAAUAACUUCCCGAAAGGGGUGCUAAUAUCGGAUAAUGUCUUCGGACCAAAGAUUUAUCGCCUUUGGAUGGGCCCGAGUUGGAUUAGCUAGUUGGUAGGGUAAAAGCCUACCAAGGCGACGAUCCAUAGCUGGUUUGAGAGGAUGAUCAGCCACACUGGGACUGAGACACGGCCCAGACUCCUACGGGAGGCAGCAGUGAGGAAUAUUGGACAAUAGGCGAAAGCCUGAUCCAGCAAUGCCGCGUGAGUGAUGAAGGCCUUAGGGUUGUAAAGCUCUUUUACCCGGGAUGAUAAUGACAGUACCGGGAGAAUAAGCACCGGCUAACUCCGUG
rnacentral:rRNA from 1 species